rnacentral:rRNA from 1 species
UACAGAGGGUGCAAACGUUGUUCGGAAUUACUGGGCAUAAAGCGCACGUAGGUGGUCCGCUAAGUCGCGUGUGAAAUCCCCCGGCUCAACCGGGGAAAUGCGCGUGAUACUGGCGGGCUUGAGAUCGGGAGGGGUGAAUGGAACUCCAGGUGGAGCGGUGAAAUGCGUAGAUAUCUGGAGGAACACCGGUGGCGUAAGCGGUUCACUGGCCCGACACUGACACUGAGGUGCGAAAGCUAGGGUAGCAAACGGG